UAAAACUUAAGACUCUAAAAAUUUAAGCUAAUAAUGAAUAUAAUUUUUUCUGGAGAAAGAGGUUAAGGUAGUUACAUGUCAAAUUUAGCAAAAUGUAGAAUAAAUUGUGAGCAUUGGUAGAGAUGAGAGCUGCAGGUGAAUGAGAUGUGAGAAACCGAGCAGAUAGCUGCGAGUAGCGAGGACAAACUGUUGCGCGCGAUGGAGAGAAAUCUAAUUGGGAAUGUUAAAUAAUUUUAGUAGAGUGUCAAAAUAGUAAAGCAAUUAUAAACAAGUUAUACUGAGUUUACAUCAAGGACAAUGCCUGGUACGUUGUCUACAGAAUGGCCUGUGGCUCCAGAGUUCGUAAAAAUAGCUGGAUAUUUCUGCCCUUUAUAAACUGAUGUCGUUGACAAGGUUAACGGUCGUUAAUUGAAGAACCUGCGAAGGAGACGAAGGUGGACAAUGGAAAAUAGAUGCUUCGAUGUAAUUGAUUGCAGGGUAUGUUAACUCGGUAAUUUAUCAGUAAUAAUAUAUUAGCAUUGCCUGGUGCUUUGCUACACCGUUGUCAAUAUUUAUAGUAAAGGUUAUGGUGUAAAGUUUAAUAUUAUGCAUUCCUUUGAUAUUAUUAGCUAAAAUUUCUGAGAAAAUUACUGUCCAUUAGAAUAGUGCCCAUUAAAGGCCAAAGUGAUCGCCCAGUAAUAACAGUCGACAUAGAUACACCCUUGAUGGGACCGAGGCGAGUUUCCAGUGUAAAGCUAGCAUGAAAUUCGUUUAAAUUUUGUUGUUAGCUUCUCAAUGCAUAUUGGCACAACUACUUUGGUUCCUGUUCAAUUUGAGGAAUGAGUCACCUUGAGAACCAAGCAAAAAAGAAGUAAGCUUGAAGCUACGUUGGAUUUUAAACUGAGAAACAGUUGCAAAAGUGCACAAUGGAUGUUUAAAGAACCUUUUUUAGAUCGGAGAAGUUAACAGCAGUGCCUUGUGCGUUAUCUUCAUGUCUCUUCGAAAGAACCUCUUCAAAGAAGUCCAUACUCUCAAGCAAAGAAGAGCAGACAGCUACUCAGUUACUUAUUAAUUUAAUUAUGCUAAUAAUCAUUUGCACAUUGACAACAACAGAUGUAAGGAAUAGUUAUACUUAACGACUACAGUAAGAUAAGAACAAGACGACUGUGGGGCAUCAUUUCUUUGGCAAAGGUACAUUACCCAUGGCGUGUAAUAUGACAACUUCGAGAGAUCCCUCCCCUCAAGCGCACAAUUAAUGAAGGCAUUUUCAGCGCAUUUGUUCGAUUCAGUUGGUUGAUCAACAAAAUGAAGGUGUCAUUCAUCUUGAAGUUAUUGACAGGCGAUGCCUUAAGCGUCUCCAGAUUACACACUUCUAGAAUUUACAGAUGUAUAACUUAAGAACGGCAAGACGAGAGCCUUCGUAAACGAAAAAUUUGACGAGGCCGCUGUCUUUGUGUGGCGAUGAAUUUGAAGUAAAAUAUUCGAAAUAGUAGAUUAAACAUAAAAUACAAUUGGAACAACUUUCCAAGGAGCCCUCCUCUUAGUUAUUUCUUUUUACGGGAAGCAAUGAUUUUGUGAAGCAACAGAUGGGACCGGAAUGAAAAUCCCGUUGCUUGUGUGUUCAUAUAAAAUAAAGAAUGUAAUAACUGUACACAUAAUAAUGUGUAGUAUGUUGUGUCACUUACAACGACAAAUGCUCGACGGGUGUCCAAUGAAUUGAUGGCCCCGUUUUAGAACAUGUAAGCUCUUUUUUGGGUGUUUAUCCGGGUGAAAAUCUUUCGUACCUCUCAAUAUCGUCCUCGUUCCCCUGAUCUCUCCCGCUAAAAGAGUAUAAAAGAUGGGAAUGGAAUCCCAGUGCUCAGAUGUACAGUCGUUGGGAGAGUGUUGAAACUUGACCAUUGACAGCACUUAUUUCAGGUUGUAAGAAGUAUUCGAAUGAGUGUCAUGCAGCCCUGUGGAAAAAUGAACAUCAGGAAAGAAAGAGAACAAAGUUUUUAAAAGGUCUCGAUGUCACUCGAUGUAAACAACUAUUUUAUUAGAUCCGAAUUACUGUUUGCAAUGUGCCUUUGUAAUGAUGCAGACUUAAGAUUGAAGAUGUGUUGAAAUACUCUGGGCCAUUUGGGCAACGCAAUUUUUAAGACUGCACCUGGAAGUUUUCUUACUUUCUGUCAGCCUGAGGUUAACGGUUACAAAAAAGGUCAAACCCUUUAAUAGUGCCAGGGCGCCCUCAAUGUGGAAUCGAGACGGUUUUUCUGCGAAUGAGAAAAUAAGUUCUUUAUGAAAGUGUAAAAUUUACCUGAAGUGGUGCUGCGACUUGGAAACGUCUUCACGGUACAUGUAAUGAACCGAUGAAAGCUAAUCCAAAGACAAGGCAAAACAAUCUUGAAUCAUAAACGAAAUAACAAAAAAAAAUACUUACGAAAUGUGAUGCAGCGACAAGUCGAUUAAUAAAACAAAUUAAAUCAACUCAGUGGUAACAGAAAUGUUAUUACGUGUUCCCAAACUAUGAAAUUGACAACCCUUCAAAACAUAUGCUUUGUGCUUUUGUGUGGUGUUUUAUUUCAAGUUGUAUUAUCGUUAUUGAGUAACCGAUGGGGCAUAAUUGAUGGGUGCUUAUGUUAACGUUUUUCACAGGUGUCAAAAUGGUUCUUAUUGAUUCAUUUUUUCUUUCAAAAACGACGUAAGGACAAAAUCAAUGUCAAAAUGUCUAAAGGAUGCGUACCAGCUCUGCGAAUGUAGAUGUUUAAAGCCAGUGGCUACAGAUGGCUUGGGCGAUAUCAUCCUUUCUAAUUUUCCAUCCAAAAUAUCUGUAAAGAAAUAAUGUAAACUGUGAUUGUAUUAGCAAAAGAGAGGAAUAUUGUCUAUAAAAGGGUAGCUGUAACUCCCAAGGAUGGCUCAAUGAUUCUGACUGAUUCCAUGACUGAGUUCAAAAUGUGGCCGCUAGUUGAUAUAGCCAUUUUGUGCAUCCCUUGUAUAUUUAUGAAAAGUUCGAUAACCAAAGUUCCUGCAGGCUAAUAAGUAAUUUUCUAUUGUCAGAGAGUUUCUACACUUUGUUUUUGUUGCCGCGAGCAUUGCUAUUGACAAACUAGUCUAAUUUCGAUGCUCCCGUAGCGUCAGCUAAUUCGGGAGAAAUCCACUUUUAGGUAGGGGGCCGUAAGGAAGAAACUUAACAUUUUAAAAGCAGUUGCUUUUACACCUGUUGACAGAAGCACUCUAAAAUUGAGCAACUAAUAUGAGACCUACGUACCUAUUCUCAUUUCUGUGAAAUCAGAUUAGCAUCAGUCAGUGAUCCUCUUUUUUGAUAGUAUAUAUUUCCUGAAUUUUUCAGGGUUUAAUUCGACCGACCAUCACGCUAUGGAAUUAAGGAACUUUCAAAAAUCUGAAAUAGUUCAAGGUAAUCUAUGCGAGAAACUUGACCGCCAGUGGGCCUGACCUAAGACCAUUAGGACCUUUUUAUGUCAGUCGGCCUGAUUGUAGACCAUUAGUUCCAAUCGUAGACUAGUAUGCCUAUUCGUAAACCAGUGCGCCUAUUCAUAAAAAUAGGCCUAAUUGUAAACAGCUGUAGGCCUAUAAUUGUACACCAGUAUGCCUAAUCGUAAACCACUGUAGGCCUAAUUUUAGACAACCAGGCCUAAUUGUAGACCACUAGGCCUAAUCGUAGACCAAUAGGCCUAAUUAAAGACCACUAGGCCUAAUUGUAGACCACUAGGCCUAAUCGUACACCACUAGGCCUGAUCGAAGACCAGUAGGCCUAUUCAUAAACCAGUGGGCCUAAUUAGAGACCAGAAGGCCUAACUGUAGACCAGCAGGUCUAAUCGUGGACCAGUUGUUGUUGUUGUAUACCACGCAGUAGGCCAAGUCGUAGAUCAGUAGUCCUAGUAGUAAAAGGCCUAGUCCUGGACCAGUGUUGAGUAGGCUUAAACGUUGACCAGGAGGCCUUCACCAGUAGGUUUAACCAUAGACCAGUAGGCUUAAUUUUAUACCAAUAGAACUGAUCAAAUUUUUUAACAACUGGAUUUUCGACAACACGGACGUAUGUUGCCUACGUAAUCAGUUGCAAUAGAGCAAGCAAAAUUGCUUGAGAGGCUUACUGCAUAUUGAGUUGGCUGAAUGUCGUACCUAGACGUCAGCUGAACAUUUUAGACAAAUUAUUUCCACGCCUGGGCACCUCAAUGCAAGUUGAGUUGAAAUGAUCAAAACCACAUUGCAAUUAAUCACAUUAACCGAACCUAGCUCCGCUAGGAAGAUUCCUUUUUGUCAGUCCAUUUUCAGCCACCAGCAGUAUCACCUCAAAUCGCUGGGGGCAUCACGGACCAGGAACCGGAAGCAGGAAGGAGGAACGACCAGUGACAGAUGACCUGCUUGCUGGGCAACCCAUUUCUUCUUGAUGAGCCAGACAUGCAGAGCGCAGAGCUUCGAUUUCACUCGUGGUGAUCGACGGAGGAAGGAAACAACUCAAGAGGAUGACAGGUCAGAGACAGAUUUUCCCUGUUGCUUACUUCAAGUGAUGACGGCUUUGAUGACAUAUUACGGAGGAGGAGUAUAGAACUAUAGGGAAGGACCACUCAAGUUUUAAACACUUAAACAGAGACUGCGGGAGAUCGUAAGGAUAGAGCUACUUUUCACGAAUAUUUUUGACAGUGGAUAGGCCAUAAAGCUACCCCCAUAUUCUUUAAUAAUGGUAGAUUCUGCAUCAACUUACUACUAAAACUUUCAGAAAUAUAGUUUUAUACGCGUACAGGUUAAUUUUUUUAAAAAUAAAUGACUAUGUAACAUGUAAUAAAUAGCGCCCCCAGUGGAACAAAAUACCAGCCCCUACCUUCCUCAUCGUCUUUUAGUCUUGUCGACCCAGGAGUCCUCAUUUUCCUUUUUUUAAAAUUCUCGAGGUAGUCGAUCCAAAAGAUAAAAGUUCGUGGCGUUAAUCUGUGCUGGAAAUAGGAGGGGAUGGGAGAUGGGGAAAGGUUUGGGGGUGGCAUGAACAUUUGAAAAGCGGAGGGGUGACAUAAUACGGGGUCGAUGUUCACGAUAUAAAUGUUUACCUGUAAUAUAUUCACAAUAACAUAUUUGUGGCUUUUUAAAUUGUCCUCCUUUUUUGGAAUGAUAGUAAAUGCGUUUUAGUCGUUGGAAGUCUGAAAAAGUUUCAAAAUUAACUUUAAUUUUUGCUUACCACGAAAAAGUGGGGGAUGAUCCAAUAGCCCAUCUCUCAAAAAGUGGGGGGAAAUAUACCCCCACCCGCCCCGGGAUUUACGCUCGUCAAAGUAUAUCGUCCCUCUAAACGGUGGCUGAAAGGGGGGGCUGAAGGGGCGACUUAUUCCUUUUCCAAACAUUUCCCAAAGUUGACAUAAUUAUCCGUUAACAAUUACCGUAAUUUUAUCCUAUCCAGUUGGUUUUGACCAAGGGAAGUCAAAACUAAAUUCGCCCUGUCUUAAUCACGAGAGGGCGCCCUUAUGAUUUCAAAAUAAGUCUUUGCAUCGAUCUAUGACUUAAGUUCACUGUAAAUAACAGCGUGAAGCAAAAAACACCUUGAUUUGGAUCAC